rnacentral:rRNA from 1 species
GAUGAACGCUGGCGGCGUGCCUAAUACAUGCAAGUAGAACGCUGAAGAGAGGAGCUUGCUCUUCUUGGGUGAGCUGCGGACGGGUGAGUAACGCGUAGGUAACCUGCCUUGUAGCGGGGGAUAACUUCUGGAAACGAUAGCUAAUACCGCAUAAUAAUGGAUAACACAUGUUUCUUUUUUGAAAGGUGCAAUUGCUCUCAUUUAUGAUGGACCUGCGGUGUAUUUGCUUGUAGGGGAGGUAAUGGCUCAACUAGGCGAAGAUACAUAGCCGACCUGGGAGGGUGGACGGCCAACCUGGGACUGAGACACGGCCCAGACUCCUUCGGGAGGGAGCAGUAGGGGAUCUUCGGGAAUGGGGGCAAAGCUUAACGAAGAACGCCGCGUGGGGGAAGAAAGUUUUCGGAUCGUAAAGAUCUGUUGUAAGGCAAGAACGAGUGGGAUAGUUGAAAGUUCACGCUGUGACGGUAGCUUACCAGAAAGGGACGGCUAACUACGUG